rnacentral:rRNA from 1 species
AGGUCCCCCCCACCCCAUGGUGGGGUGGGAAAUGCUUUUUGCGGCAUGGGAUGGGGUCGCGUCCUAUCAGCUUGUUGGCGGGGUGAUGGCCCACCAAGGCGUUGACGGGUAGCCGGCCUGAAAGGGUGACCGGCCACAUUGGGACUGAAAUACCGCCCAAACUCCUACGGGAGGCAGCAGUGGGGAAUAUUGCACAAUGGGCGCAAGCCUGAUGCAACGACGCCGCGUGCGGGAUGGAGGCCUUCGGGUUGUAAACCGCUUUUGUUCAAGGGCAAGGCACGGCUUCCGGCCGUGUUGAGUGGAUUGUUCGAAUAAGCACCGGCUAACUACGUGCCAACAGCCGCGGUAAUACCUAGGGUGCGAGCGUUAUCCGGAUUUAUUGGGCGUAAAGGGCUCGUAAGCGGUUCGUCGCGUCCGGUGUGAAAGUCCAUCGCCUAACGGUGGAUCUGCGCCGGGUACGGGCGGGCUGGAGUGCGGUAGGGGAGACUGGAAUUCCCGGUGUAACGGUGGAAUGUGUAGAUAUCGGGAAGAACACCAAUGGCGAAGGCAGGUCUCUGGGCCGUUACUGACGCUGAGGAGCGAAAGCGUGGGGAGCGAACAGGAUUAGAUACCCUGGUAGUCCACGCCGUAAACGGUGGAUGCUGGAUGUGGGGCCCGUUCCACGGGUUCUGUGUCGGAGCUAACGCGUUAAGCAUCCCGCCUGGGGAGUACGGCCGCAAGGCUAAAACUCAAAGAAAUUGACGGGGGCCCGCACAAGCGGCGGAGCAUGCGGAUUAAUUCGAUGCAACGCGAAGAACCUUACCUGGGCUUGACAUGUUCCCGACAGCCGUAGAGAUAUGGCCUCCCUUCGGGGCGGGUUCACAGGUGGUGCAUGGUCGUCGUCAGCUCGUGUCGUGAGAUGUUGGGUUAAGUCCCGCAACGAGCGCAACCCUCGCCCUGUGUUGCCAGCACGUCAUGGUGGGAACUCACGGGGGACCGCCGGGGUCAACUCGGAGGAAGGUGGGGAUGACGUCAGAUCAUCAUGCCCCUUACGUCCAGGGCUUCACGCAUGCUACAAUGGCCGGUACAACGGGAUGCGACACGGUGACGUGGAGCGGAUCCCUGAAAACCGGUCUCAGUUCGGAUUGCAGUCUGCAACCCGACUCCAUGAAGGCGGAGUCGCUAGUAAUCGCGGAUCAGCAACGC